ACAGAGGGGGCAAGCGUUGUUCGGAAUUACUGGGCGUAAAGGGCGCGUAGGCGGCCCUCUAAGUCGAACGUGAAAUCCCUGGGCUCAACCCAGGAACUGCGUCCGAGACUGGAGGGCUAGAAUCCGGGAGAGGGAUGUGGAAUUCCAGGUGUAGCGGUGAAAUGCGUAGAUAUCUGGAGGAACAUCGGUGGCGAAGGCGGCAUCCUGGACCGGUAUUGACGCUGAGGCGCGAAAGCCAGGGGAGCAAACGGGA
rnacentral:rRNA from 1 species